rnacentral:pre_miRNA from 1 species
UCUCCAUCAUCAUCAUGAUCAUGAUCAUGAUCAUCAUCAUGAUCAUCAUCAUGAUCAUGAUCAUGAUCAUGAUCAUGAUCAUCAUCAUCAUCAUCA